AGAGUUUGAUCAUGGCUCAGAUUGAACGCUGGCGGCAUGCCUAACACCUGCAAGUCGAACGGCAGCACUGGGAGCUUGCUCCCUGGUGGCGAGUGGCGGACGGGUGAGUAACGCGUAGGAAUCUGCCUCAUAGUGGGGGACAACUCGGGGAAACUCGAGCUAAUACCGCAUACUAUUCGAGAGAAGAAAGCAGGGGACCUUCGGGCCUUGCGCUAUGAGAUGAGCCUGCGUUGGAUUAGCUAGUUGGUAGGGUAAAGGCCUACCAAGGCGACGAUCCAUAACUGGUUUGAGAGGAUGACCAGUCACACUGGGACUGAGACACGGCCCAGACUCCUACGGGAGGCAGCAGUGGGGAAUAUUGGACAAUGGGGGAAACCCUGAUCCAGCAAUGCCGCGUGUGUGAAGAAGGCCUGAGGGUUGUAAAGCACUUUUAGUUGUGAGGAAAUGGUGAUUGUUAAUAGCGAUUAUUUUUGACGUUAGCAACAGAAAAAGCACCGGCUAACUCUGUGCCAGCAGCCGCGGUAAUACAGAGGGUGCAAGCGUUAAUCGGAUUGACUGGGCGUAAAGGGCGCGUAGGUGGUUAUUUAAGUUAGAUGUGAAAUCCCUGGGCUUAACCUAGGAACUGCAUUUAAUACUGGGUAACUAGAGUAUAGGAGAGGGCAGUGGAAUUUCCGGUGUAGCGGUGAAAUGCGUAGAUAUUAGAAAGAACACCGGUGGCGAAAGCGCUCUACUGGACCAUUACUGACACUGAGAGGCGAAAGCUAGGGUAGCAAAAGGGAUUAGAUACCCCUGUAGUCCUAGCCGUAAACGAUGGAUACUAGGUGUUGUGCAGUUCGUACAGUAUCUUAGCUAACGCGUUAAGUAUCCCGCCUGGGGAGUACGCUCGCAAGGGUGAAACUCAAAGGAAUUGACGGGGGCCCGCACAAGCGGUGGAGCAUGUGGUUUAAUUCGAUGCAACGCGAAGAACCUUACCAGGGCUUGACAUACUACAGAUCUUUUAGAGAUAAAAGAGUGCCUUCGGGAAUGUAGAUACAGGUGGUGCAUGGCUGUCGUCAGCUCGUGUCGUGAGAUGUUGGGUUAAGUCCCGCAACGAGCGCAACCCUCGUUUUUAGUUGCCAAUUUAUUGGGCUUUCUAGAGAGACUGCCGGUGACAAACCGGAGGAAGGUGAGGAUGACGUCAAGUCAGCAUGCCCCUUAUGUCCUGGGCCACACACGUGCUACAAUGGCGGAGACAAAGAGUCGCAAACCUGCGAAGGCUAGCUAAUCUCAUAAACUUCGUCUAAGUUCGGAUUGUAGGCUGCAACUCGCCUACAUGAAGUUGGAAUCGCUAGUAAUCGCUGGUCAGCUAUACAGCGGUGAAUUCGUUCCCGGGCCUUGUACACACCGCCCGUCACACCAUGGGAGCUGGUCAUACCCAAUACCGUUAGUCUAGCCAUUCGGAGGACAGCGCUUAAGGUAGGGCUAGUGACUGGGGUGAAGUCGUAAC
rnacentral:rRNA from 1 species